rnacentral:rRNA from 1 species
CCUACGUGAGGCAGCAGUGGGGAAUAUUGCACAAUGGGGGAAACCCUGAUGCAGCGACGCCGCGUGAGUGAAGAAGUAAUUCGUUAUGUAAAGCUCUAUCAGCAGGGAAGAAAAUGACGGUACCUGAGUAAGAAGCCCCGGCUAACUACGUGCCAGCAGCCGCGGUAAUACGUAGGGGGCAAGCGUUAUCUGGAUUUACUGGGUGUAAAGGGAGCGUAGACGGCAGUGCAAGCCUGGAGUGAAAGGCGGGGGCUCAACCCCCGGACUGCUCUGGAAACUGUACGGCUGGAGUGCAGGAGAGGUAAGUGGAAUUACUAGUGUAGCGGUGAAAUGCGUAGAUAUUAGGAAGAACAGCAGUGGCGAAGGCGGCUUACUGGACUGUAACUGACGUUGAGGCUCGAAAGCGUGGGGAGCAAACAGGAUUAGAUACCCUAGUAGUC